rnacentral:rRNA from 1 species
AGCGAACGCUGGCGGCAGGCUUAACACAUGCAAGUCGAGCGCCUGUAGCAAUACAGGAGCGGCAGACGGGAGAGUAACACGUGGGAACGUACCUUUCAGUACGGAACAACCAAGGGAAACUUUGGCUAAUACCGUAUACGCCCGUAAGGGGAAAGAUUUAUCGCUGAAAGAUCGGCCCGCGUCUGAUUAGCUUGUUGGUGAGGUAAUGGCUCACCAAGGCGACGAUCAGUAGCUGGUCUGAGAGGAUGAUCAGCCUCACUGGGACUGAGACACGGCCCAGACUCCUACGGGAGGCAGCAGUGGGGAAUAUUGGACAAUGGGCGCAAGCCUGAUCCAGCCAUGCCGCGUGGAUGAUGAAGGCCCUAGGGUUGUAAAGUCCUUUCGACGGGGAAGAUAAUGACGGUACCCGUAGAAGAAGCCCCGGCUAACUUCGUGCCAGCCGCCGCGGUAAAAC